rnacentral:sRNA from 1 species
GGAAACCUGGAUGAGAAAAGUGGAGAGAGCGAGAGAUCUUUUUGCCCUCAUAUUCUUUUAACUUAGCGCCAUACAGUGGCCCCACCCAUGGCCAAUUUUUUUCCUUUUCCUUUUUUUCUUGGAUAUUUGAUUGAAGGCACCACUAACGUCCGUCAGUACGGGUUGAAAAGCUCUACCUACACUCCUCUUCAUCUGUAGCAAACCACCGCAUCAAGUCAAAGAACAAGGCCAGAAAUGGGGCCAAAAGCAACUAUUGCAUCACCAGCAGCGAGCAGCAAAAUUCCGAAACAAGCUUCAACCCGAUUACGCCUGUUCCGCCUGCAUGCGCCAUUGGCCAGACCCCUCUCUCCCCAUUUUUACUACGAAACUACAU